CCUACGGGAGGCAGCAGUAGGGAAUAUUGCUCAAUGGGCGAAAGCCUGAAGCAGCAACGCCGCGUGGGGGAUGAAGGUUUUCGGCUCGUAAAGCCCUUUUGUUAGAGAAGAUAAUGACGGUAUCUAACGAAUAAGCACCUGCUAACUCCGUCCCAGUAGCCGCGGUAAUACGGAGGGGGCAAGCGUUACUCGGAAUCACUGGGCGUAAAGGGCGCGUAGGCGGGAUAGCAAGUCAGAUGUGAAAGCCUAUGGCUUAACCAUAGAACUGCAUUUGAAACUGUUAUUCUAGAGUAUGGGAGAGGUAGGUGGAAUUCUUGGUGUAGGGGUAAAAUGCGUAGAGAUCAAGAGGAAUACUCAUGGCGAAGGCGACCUGCUAGAACAUAACUGACGCUGAGGCGCGAAAGCGUGGGGAGCAAACAGGAUUAGAUACCCCGGUAGUC
rnacentral:rRNA from 1 species